UUUACUUUAUAGGAUAGGGAUGUUGAAUUUCAAUACAUAAAUCCGGACCUUGUUUCCGCAUUUGCCAUAAGUUGCAACCUGGGAUUAAACUUGUAAUUUGCAAUAGCUACAUGCGAGAUUCAAGACCAAGUUGCGAUGUUUGGACUUUGAUAAUAGUUUCGCAGAAGUGCAGAGUUUAGGGGCUAAUUUCAAGCUUCCCGUCUACAAAAUGUGAAUAAAACUCUCUACUGUUUGCACUUUAUUCAAAAUUAUACUGUUUCUUAAUUUUAUUGAUUAAAUUGUGGUUUGAGAAUUAUAACUGUUUAUUUUAUAACGUUAAAAUGCCGGGCCGACCCUGGCGCUAGUUAUUAUUAUUAUUAUUGUCCCGUUUUUAGUAAUUUACAUGGAGCAGGCGUAUAUUAUACAAGCGCAAGUUACCCUGUCCCAACUACGGGUACAAGGAGGAUAAUUGUUUAGAAACUCGAGUUUCAAUAGUCUUAUAAAAUUUGCGCAAAUAUACCAUUUCCCCCUUACCUACGUUUUAUUAAUCGAUCGAUUUACGAAAAGUUUGUUAAUAUAGUAAAUGUAAGUAAGUUAAACGAUAAGAGUAAAUACGGCGCCGGGUUUAUAAGUAAUAUAUAAGUUAAUAUAAAUAUGAAUUUAUUAAAUUAAUUGGAAUAUAAAUAAGGUGAGUUUACUAGAUAUAAAAGUUAUACUAUAAAUAUAAGAUUACCAAUAUUAAACCAUGUAAUAUUAUAAAGUUUAGUAGUAAAAAUAAUAAAAACUAUUUUUUGCCGAAUAAAUAUAUUUUUAAAAAGAAGAUUAAUUUUGUAAAUUUAAAUAUUAAUACCCUUUAUAUUUAAUUAUACUAGAUAUAUUAUAGAUAUAAUCCUCUUUUAUAAUAAAAAACCGGGUAUUAUUCAAGACACCACUAUACUUAUAGAAUAAAUUAAAACCAGCUUUAAAAUAAUAUGAAAUUUAACCAUUUUGGAAAAAUAUACUUAGUUAAAGUUUUACUUCAAUUAAUAAUGCCAUGCCCGCUUAAAAUAAAAGUUGAAAUAAGACUUUAAUAAGACUAUCCCUAGUAUUUAUAAUAUAAAUAAAACAGACAAUUAUAUUUAUAAUAUGUAUUAAUACGACGUGGCUGAAAAAUAUAUAA
rnacentral:sRNA from 1 species